rnacentral:rRNA from 1 species
GCUUACGGCCACACUCCCUGAGCACGCCCGAUCUCGUCUGAUCUCGGAGCUAAGCAGGGUCGGGCCCGGUUAGUACUUGGAUGGGAGACCGCCUGGGAAUACCAGGUGCUGUAAGCC